rnacentral:rRNA from 1 species
GACGAACGCUGGCGGCACGCUUAACACAUGCAAGUCGAACGAGAGAAGAGAAGCUUGCUUUUCUGAUCUAGUGGCGGACGGGUGAGUAACACGUGAGCAAUCUGCCUUUCAGAGGGGGAUACCGAUUGGAAACGAUCGUUAAUACCGCAUAACAUAAUUGAACCGCAUGAUUUGAUUAUCAAAGAUUUAUCGCUGAAAGAUGAGCUCGCGUCUGAUUAGCUAGUUGGUAAGGUAACGGCUUACCAAGGCGACGAUCAGUAGCCGGACUGAGAGGUUGAUCGGCCACAUUGGGACUGAGACACGGCCCAGACUCCUACGGGAGGCAGCAGUGGGGAAUAUUGCACAAUGGAGGAAACUCUGAUGCAGCGAUGCCGCGUGAGGGAAGAAGGUUUUAGGAUUGUAAACCUCUGUCUUUGGGGACGAAAAAUGACGGUACCCAAGGAGGAAGCUCCGGCUAACUACGUGCCAGCAGCCGCGGUAAUACGUAGGGAGCGAGCGUUGUCCGGAAUUACUGGGUGUAAAGGGAGCGUAGGCGGGAUCGCAAGUCAGAUGUGAAAACUAUGGGCUUAACCCAUAAACUGCAUUUGAAACUGUGGUUCUUGAGUGAAGUAGAGGUAAGCGGAAUUCCUAGUGUAGCGGUGAAAUGCGUAGAUAUUAGGAGGAACAUCAGUGGCGAAGGCGGCUUACUGGGCUUUAACUGACGCUGAGGCUCGAAAGCGUGGGGAGCAAACAGGAUUAGAUACCCUGGUAGUCCACGCCGUAAACGAUGAUUACUAGGUGUGGGGGGACUGACCCCUUCCGUGCCGCAGCAAACGCAAUAAGUAAUCCACCUGGGGAGUACGACCGCAAGGUUGAAACUCAAAGGAAUUGACGGGGGCCCGCACAAGCAGUGGAGUAUGUGGAUUAAUUCGAAGCAACGCGAAGAACCUUACCAGGUCUUGACAUCGUAUGCAUAGCUCAGAGAUGAGUGAAAUCUCUUCGGAGACAUAUAGACAGGUGGUGCAUGGUUGUCGUCAGCUCGUGUCGUGAGAUGUUGGGUUAAGUCCCGCAACGAGCGCAACCCUUACUGUUAGUUGCUACGCAAGAGCACUCUAGCAGGACUGCCGUUGACAAAACGGAGGAAGGUGGGGAUGACGUCAAAUCAUCAUGCCCCUUAUGACCUGGGCCUCACACGUACUACAAUGGCUGUCAACAGAGGGAAGCAAAGCCGCGAGGUGGAGCAAACCCCUAAAAGCAGUCUUAGUUCGGAUUGUAGGCUGCAACCCGCCUACAUGAAGUCGGAAUUGCUAGUAAUCGCAGAUCAGCAUGCUGCGGUGAAUACGUUCCCGGGCCU